UGACGGGCGGUGUGUGCAGAAUAAGCACCGGCUAACUACGUGCCAGCAGCCGCGGUAAUACGUAGGGUGCAAGCGUUAAUCGGAAUUACUGGGCGUAAAGCGUGUGUAGGCGGUUCGGAAAGAAAGAUGUGAAAUCCCAGGGCUCAACCUUGGAACUGCAUUUUUAACUGCCGAGCUAGAGUAUGUCAGAGGGGGGUAGAAUUCCACGUGUAGCAGUGAAAUGCGUAGAUAUGUGGAGGAAUACCGAUGGCGAAGGCAGCCCCCUGGGAUAAUACUGACGCUCAGACACGAAAGCGUGGGGAGCAAACAGGAUUAGAUACCCUGGUAGUCCACGCCCUAAACGAUGUCAACUAGCUGUUGGGGCCGUUAGGCCUUAGUAGCGCAGCUAACGCGUGAAGUGAC
rnacentral:rRNA from 1 species